AAACGCGUCUCCUCGUCCAUUUUGUUGCUGGACUUAGAGCUGAAAACAUCUCUCGUGAAUUUUUUUCCUUUAAUCAAAAUUUUUACUAAAAUCAUGUAUUUUCAAUUUAGUAACGAUAGUUUUUCAAACUUUGUUAGUGGAAAUUUAAUUAAUCAGUGUUUUAUUUCUAAAAUAAUUAAUUCUACCACGAAAAAGAGAAUACAACGAUGAGAGGAAAUCUAAUGAUAGCGUCCUUAAUCACGUGGUAAUUGGCGAGAAUGUCGCUUUUUGUUGAAGAUAAACGAAAAAGAAUCCUUUCAAUAAAAGGAGAGAUGAACUGGAAUUUCAGUGGAAAAAGAAUAUGGAGAUGAAAUGAACUUUAAAUGAAAUUCAUGGAAUGAAUGGAA